GCCCUUGUAGCUCAGCUGGUAGAGCAACCGCCUUGUAAGCGGUAGGUCGCGGGUUCAAUUCCUGCCGGGGGCACCA
rnacentral:tRNA from 1 species